UAUGGCGAUAAGAGCAUUUUGCUCAGAACCGUUUUUAUUGCAGCAGCCCCUGGGGACCUGAACUAGGUCACUUUCCCAUCAAGGCUCACUACAAACCGUUAAAUAAGUGGUGCGAGCGGGGCCCUUUCAGCACCUUUCAGAAAAGAGCUGUUUUGUUGAUUAGAAAGGUAAAGAGAGGCAAGCAGCACGGUUUAUGAAACCUAUUUUCCGUGACUCAUAAAUAUUAAUUCUUUGAUGUUCAAUAAUCUAAUUGAGUUUAGUGUUUGCAGCUGUUCCCUCAUCAGCAACGGUAACGAGGGUCUCAUUUAUUCUGAUUACCUGGCUUUGGGAAAGCUGCUGGCAGUACCCACCCUGAGACCUCUGCUCCUUGUCACACCUGGCUGGGCUCAGCCUGGAGAUCUCUGUGCCCUGGGGCAGGGGAGGGGCUCACCCACCGACGUGGAGGGUGCAGCAGCCUCACCUCCUUGGGAAAUUGGCCUUCAUGCUCAAUUCCAGCCUUGUACCGAGUAAAGAUGGGUUGGAAAAAAACCAAAACCACCCCACAAAUGUUCCUUUCAGCAACAACAAAAGUCCUGACCAAGAGCGCUUGACCAGCCGCUGGGUGACUCAGUGGGAAUUCAGUCCGUGCAGCAAGGGCAGGCACCAUCUGGGGAGCCAGGAGAAGAAAGGCGCAGUGUUUCCAUAAAGCCAGUGGAAAAAAAAUAGAGCUGGGAACAUUCUUCUGGCAGAAAGCAUUCCCUCCUGGAAGCGAAACGCUGAUAGCCAAGGAGAAAGCCGAGCUCACAGAGCCAGCACUCCCCUCCCAGGGCCACCUGCAAGUCGUCCUGGGCGGGAGCAGCGCGGGGCCACCAGCACCACUGUCCCCACGCUGUCCCAGCACCCACCAACACCUUCCCAGUGACCUCGGUGGUGACCCAAGGCCCUCUGAUGUCCUUAUGGGGGUAGAUUAAAUCCCUCAGUCCUGCCCCGAGGCGGGGGAUGCUGCAGGAGGGGAUCCGUUCCCCCUAACAGCCCCGCUGCCCUGGCACGGAGCCUAUCUGAGGCAGGCAGCACUCUGCUGGCAGCAUUUUCUGCCCUGCUUCAAGUAUUUUCCUCAUCUUUUUCAGGACUGAGGAAAGGACCGAGCGUGCCCUAGUACCCAGAAAGCCUUCCCAGCUCUACCAGUUGUUGCAGCAGGAGACUUUCCCUCUCUCCAAACCUGGCUUUUCUUCUGCCCACGCCUCAUCACGGCUACAAGCACAGCUUCCAAGUACUUUGCUUACUAUGUACUACAAAUAUUACACAGGAAAGCCACCUCUAUUCCAGGCAUUUUAAAUUUACUCCUAAUUUUACAACUUUAAAACUUUCAGUGCCACUUAUCAGUCUGGGAAAGAACGAAUUAUCUCCCACCGAGCUCACUGUGCUGUACAAAAAUGCUGCACCCCGACACAGCCCUCUGUCGCUGCCUCAUAACGGAGCAAAAUGAUGUGAUAACGCCCUUGUAGGGUACUUCAUCACGGCAAUACCGUCACCUGAGAUAACUCCCGGGUACGCUUCUGGUGCCUGUCUUUACCCCGAGCCAGGAUUUUAU